rnacentral:rRNA from 1 species
UACGUAGGUGGCAAGCGUUGUCCGGAUUUACUGGGCGUAAAGGGUGCGUAGGCGGUCGGGUAAGUCUGACGUGAAAUCUUCAAGCUUAACUUGGAAACUGCGUCGGAUACUAUUCGGCUCGAGGAAUGGAGGGGAGACUGGAAUACUUGGUGUAGCAGUGAAAUGCGUAGAUAUCAAGUGGAACACCAGUGGCGAAGGCGAGUCUCUGGACAUUUCCUGACGCUGAGGCACGAAAGCCAGGGGAGCAAACGGG